rnacentral:rRNA from 1 species
GACGAACGCUGGCGGCGUGCUUAACACAUGCAAGUCGAGCGGUAAGGCCCUUUCGGGGGUACACGAGCGGCGAACGGGUGAGUAACACGUGGGCGACCUGCCCUCAGCUCUGGGAUAAGCCUGGGAAACCGGGUCUAAUACUGGAUAUGACUCCAUGACGCAUGUUGUGGGGUGGAAAGCCUUGUGCGGCUGAGGAUGGGCCCGCGGCCUAUCAGCUUGUUGGUGGGGUGAGGCCUACCAAGGCGACGACGGGUAGCCGGCCUGAGAGGGCGACCGGCCACACUGGGACUGAGACACGGCCCAGACUCCUACGGGAGGCAGCAGUGGGGAAUCUUGCGCAAUGGGCGAAAGCCUGACGCAGCG